CAAAUACAUAAAGAUAAACACAAAAUACUUUGACCAGGGCGUGACAUGCUUUCUCUGACAUUUUUCCCAUCUUGGAAAAUGAGGAUAUUUCUUUCAUAAGAAAAUUGGCCAAAACAUCUUGAGCUGUGUUUUAGGUGUAAGGGAAGGGUCUGAGAUGUUUUGCCAUUUUGAAAAAUACUCAGAAGUCUGCUAAAUAAUUUGAACACAACUUUGAUUUGUUCCCUUUCCCUCCUACAGUGGGCUCAGCUACCUGUUCUAAAUAUGCUGUUUGAGUUAGAUUGGGGUGUUUGUGCCUCUGCUGUGUGUCCUAAAUAUGCUGUUUGAAAGAUGUUGAUGAAAAUGUGUUAUGAUGAAGCACUACCCUCUGAAGUUACAUUGUUAAUUUAUUGAGCUUUCAUUGUUAAGUUAAAGUUAAAAUGGCUCAUAAAGCUGUCCUCACUGCAUAAUGACUUCAAGAUAAGUUUGUCAUUUUUUUUCUCCAAAUUUUUAUUGGAAGCUGAACACUCAUGUGUAGGUGAAUAAUAGAAUCAGCUGACUGGCUCGCCCUUUUGCCCCUCCUCAGGUGUGUAUCCUCCUCCUCUCUCUACACUUUACUCUUUUCCCCCUCUCUGUCUCAUGUUUUCUCCUUAGUAAACACUUAAUUCUUCACUCUCUCUCUGUCCUCCCUAUGGGCCCCUCUCUCUCAUCCUCUCACCACACACUCCAUUGACUCCACUGUGGGGCAGUGCAGAGUGCAGACAGGUCUGAGCUGAUCCAGUCCUGCCAGCUGUAAUACUGUAGGCUGCUGGGUGCUGAAGUACUGUAUGUGCUGGUCCAUUUUACCAGUCUGGCCUGGCAUUCCCUCACACAUGUACAGCAGGCAGAGCGAAAGCGACAGCAGAGGAGGGAGCGAGAGAAGGGAAAUCAGAGAGGAGAAGGAAAGAGGACAGAAUGGACAGGAGAGGAACACUGUCUGCAGUCCUCCAGACUAGAGGGUUGUCAGGUGCUAGUGUUGGGGAAGUGGAGGGGAGAUGCAGGGGUGUUGUACUGGCUCUGACACUGCGGUAGGAGUUGGGUAGUGGGUGGAACCCCUGGUUGUCUGCUCUAGAUCUGCUGCCGCCACUGGGGGCAGAAUAGAGCUGGGAAAGAGAAGGAACUAUAACAAACACAGGCUGUCUGUGAAGGAGCUGCAGAGAGCAAUAUAGAGAAAGUUAUAUUCUUUCAACCAAAUGUCCCAGUGUUUUCCAGUCCAGUAGAUCUGUGCAGAGUCUCUGCUGCUCUCUUAUAGAUGAGCCCCAUCUGUCUUCUCUGUACUGGAGCUCUCUGCUGAUGACCAGCUGGUGACAAGCACCCAUGUGAUACAAGCACAUGUGCCAUGCACAAACACACACCGUUCAGUACACACACAGUAGGGCUCACACACACCGUACACACUUGAGUGGGUUGAGUCACUGACGUGAUCUUCCUGUCUGGGUUGGCGCCCCCCCCUUGGGUUGUGCCGUGGCGGAGAUCUUUGUGGGCUAUACUCGGCCUUGUCUCAGGAUGGUAAGUUGGUGGUUGACGCUAUCCCUCUAGUGGUGUGGUGGCUGUGCUUUGGCAAAGUGGGUGGGGUUAUAUCCUUCCUGUUUGGCCCUAUCCGGGGGUAUCAUCGGAUGGGGCCACAGUGUCUCCUGACCCCUCCUGUCUCAGCCUCCAGUAUUUAUGCUGCAGUAGUUUGUGUCAGGGGGCUAUGGUCAGUUUGUUAUAUCUGGAGUACUUCUCCUGUUUUAUCCGGUGUCCUGUGUGAAUUUAAGUAUGCUCUCUCUAAUUAUCUCUUUCUAUCUCUCGGAGGACCUGAGCCCUAGGACCAUGCCUCAGGACUACCUGGCCUGAUGACUCCUUGCUGCCCCCAGUCCUCCUGGCCGUGCUGCUGCUCCAGUUUCAACUGUUCUGCCUGCGUCUAUGGAACCCUGACCUGUUCAUCGGACGUGCUACCUGUCCCAGACCUGCUGUUUUCAACUCUAGAGACAGCAGGAGCGGUAGAGAUACUCCUAAUGAUCGGCUAUGAAAAGCCAACUGACAUUUACUCCUGAGGUGCUGGCCUGUUGCACCCUCGACAACUACUGUGAUUAUUAUUAUUUGACCAUGCUGGUAAUUUAUGAACAUUUGAACAUUUUGGCCAUGUUCUGUUAUAAUCUCUACCCGGCACAGCCAGAAGAGGACUGGCCACCCCUGAUAGCCUGGUUCCUCUCUAGGUUUCUUCCUAGGUUUUUGCCUUUCUGGGGAGUUUUUCCCAGCCCCCAUGCUUCUACACCUGCACUUUGAGAUAUCAGCUGAUGUAAGAAGGGCUAUAGAAAUCAAUUUGAUUUGAUUAGGGCUCACACACACCGUACAGUACACACACAGUAGGGUGCUCACACACACUGUACACACACAGUAGGGCUGGGAUGAUACCAGUAUCGCAUUAUUUCUUCCAUGGCAAAAAUGAAAACACAAAGCAGAUAUCAUGGCACAGAUGCAGACACAGGAGGCAGAUGGUUGGAGUAUUACAAUGUUUAUUAAUCCAAAGGAGUAGGCAAGAGAAUAGUCGUGGACAGGCUAAUACCAAUGGGUACCGAAGGGCAGGCAGAAUCAAGGUCAGGGCAGGCAGGAUGAUCAGGCAGGCACAAAAGCAGUCCAGAGCCAGGCAGGGGUCAGAACCGGAAGGAUUAUAAAAAGAGAAUAGGAAAGGAGUACGGGAAAAACACGCUGGUUGACUUGACUAAACAUGCAAGACGAACUGGCACAGAGAGACAGGAAACACAGGGAUAAAUACACUGGGGAAAAUAAGCGACACCUGGAGGGGGUGGAGACAAUCACAGGAACAGGUGAAACAGAUCAGGGUGUGACAGCAGACUAAACUCUUUUUUUUUAAUGCUGUAUGUAAACUAUUGUGUGCUAUAGCUUUAAAAAAUACAACAAUUUGACUCUGGAGGACAAAAUAAUGAUGUUUGUUUCCAACAUUAGGGCUGUUUUCCUAAAGAAGUUAAAUCUGCGUCAUAUUUUGUUUCCUUGCCAUGAUACUAACACGUUUCGCGAUACUGGUAUCGUCCCGGCCCUAACGCACACACACACAUCCUACAUUUCCACAGCACACUCAGGUUGACCAGUAGCUAGAUGUGUCAUUAAUUCAUAUAAACUCGGACAAAUGCCAAGUAUGACACACAUACGGCCUCUUGCCUCUUACUCACACUCCUCCUCAUGCCCACAAUAUCAUGCAGCUUAUCAACCUACACAUUCACACUCUCCCUCCUACACACACUAUGACUAUGUUCUUCUUAAUCUAGUGUCUCUCUGUCUCAACUCUUUGCUGCAGUGGGUCGUGCUGAGGAUCAUAUUGGGGACAGCUGUGUUCCAGGUUAUAUGAGGGAAGUGGGACAUAUGGGCAGCUGUGAUGUAACCACAGGAGGAGAGGAGGAAGUCAGGGAGGGAGGGACAGCCAUGUUUGUGACAGGCCCACUGGGACAGACAGACAGAUCUGGCACUGUGGUUCUGUUCUGGUCCUCAUGGAGAUCUCUGGUUUACCUGUCUCUCUCCCAGGAUGUUAAUACCUCCAGGGUGUUGGGGUGUGUGCGCACUAGGGUUGAAUAUUUUCCAAGUAUUUUACAAAUGUUCCAGCCUGAGAUUAUAUCACUUUUCUCCCAGGUAAUUCGGUGUGUCAUUCAAAAGCAUAUACAUAUGUCUGGAUUUGAUUAGGGCUUUGAUCAGCAUGAACAUUCAGACCUGAUGCUACCUGAGCCUAAUGAGCCAUAUAUUAAGUACAUUUUAGGAGCCCUACAUUAACAACAUUUAAUGAGCCCAAGCCCCAAAUAGCUCAAAUGAUUGUGUCGUUAUCCAAUACAUAUAUGAUAUAGGCUACUGCACAUUAUGCACAUCAUAAAAACUUAAAACCCCAUAGAUGUAGCUAGAUAUAUGAUCUCUUGGGUAAAUAAAUUAAACUAGCUCCAGUAAGCUUUGUUUUUUUUAGUGUGAACUGUAUUACUGUACUGUGUUGUUUUAUAUUGACUGGAAUAACAUCAUGAUAGAGCAGAAGAGAACAUGCGUUUCUAGUGCAGCACAUGCACACAAUUUGAUUUGAAUUUUUAAAUAUAAUAGGCCCUAUUUGUAUAAUUAGUAGGCUGAUGUAUAUACACCUUUCAUAAUAUUUCCCUUAAUGUUAUUAGCCUACCUCCUCUUUCUCUCUCUAUUGUUGCUUCAUUCAUUCCUCGCUUUCAACAGUUAAAUGAAAUACAUUUUGUUGUCAUUCUGAUGACAUCCUUGAAUAAUAUUAGACUAAAAUUAGAUGCAGAAGGCUUUCACUUCUCUUCACGAAGAUUGAAUGGUUAUGGGUCUGAAUAAAUAACUGCUUUAGCCUACUGCCGUUGUGCGCGUUCACUCUUCUUUCCAUCUACCGGCGAGUUCUAUUGGCGGCUGUAUUUAACAUUCAGCAAAAAAAGAGCUUGAGUCCCUCUUCGAAUAGUCUAUUGGUAUAAGAAAUACCAAUACCAAUAUUCUAGUCCAGCUUUUCCUGCAUGGGACUCCAAGAGCUAAGGAGCACUUUUUAAGGAGAGAGGCCAGCAAAGCACAGGUAUGUGUGUAUUGCGCAAGAGACAGAAGCUAUAAGUUAGAAACUUAUUGUGCAUAACCCAUCAUUAAUUAGCUAAAUAUAAGGCUAAUGCAUUGAAUGUAUUACCUGAAAGAGAUAGGACAUCUCUAUAUAAGGCUAUAUAUUUUAAGUUGAUGGAGCGAGAGAAAGACAGAGAGUGUUUGUGCAUGCCCGAUAAAGCAACGAUAUUCCAGUGAUAGGCUGUUUUAAAACUCUGCAGCUGCAAUAAAAAAACAGACUCUUUAAAAUAACAAAACAAGGUGACCCCCGAAAGCCAGAUGGAGAUGGGUAAAUUAGAUGCGCAUUCUGUCUUUAUAUUAGCAAAUGUAGACCUACCUGUCACAAGAGAAAAGUUACCAUGAUGAGAUGAUCGUUCUACAUGCAUUGUGAACUACACUCCAUACUGAGAUGGGCUGUCUGUCCCCACCCUGAGUGUUGAUUCAUCAUGCAGAGGCCCUAGAGAAGCCAGCUUUAGCCAUUGCACAUAAUUUAACAGUUCCAUUUCAU
ensembl:lncRNA